GCGCCAUUAGCUCAGUUGGACAGAGCAAUUGCCUUCUAAGCAAUCGGUCACUGGUUCGAAUCCAGUAUGGCUCACCA
rnacentral:tRNA from 2 species